rnacentral:lncRNA from 1 species
GACCUGAGGAUAGGUUGGGGAAGUCUACACUGUCUGCUGUCCUCCACAGAGCAGAUAAAUCUUAGGUCUCCUCAUCGCUAAGAGCUUGGCCCAAGUUCUCACCAAUUGAGACCCAGAACUGACUCUUUAUCCCUUAAACUGUUUUACAGGGGUAUUUUAUUACAGCAACGGGAAAAGAAAGUAAGACAUCACAUCUCUGUCUUCUUCAGUCUGGUGGCUCUUCAGUCUUUGCAUUUUCUUUUUCAUGAUUUUGACACUUCUAAGAAUCACAGGUCUCUUCUUUUUGUUGUUGCUAUGAUUUUUGUUCUUCCAGACUUUUCUAGAAAAGUGUUUUGCCUGCCUAUACGUAUAUGCAUGUGAGCGUGCCUGGUGCAGAGGAUCUGGAGUUGUGAGCCAGCAUGUGUGUGCUGUGGACAGCAAGUGCUCCUAACCACUGAGCAAUCCUUUCAUUCUGUUCUUUUUCUUAACUUCUGUAUGUACAUAGUGCGUGUGUUCGAUGUAUGUGCACAUGUGUGUGCAGGUGUGUACUCCUGUGCACUUGCAGAGGCUGGAGGAGAGCACCAGGUGUCCUGCUCUGUCACACUCUGGGUUCUUCCCUUAGACAGGCUUUCUUACUGAAGCUAGAGGUCCAUGGUGCUGAGGUCACAGGCACAGAGGCAGCCAUAGCCAACUUCUGUGGGUGCUGAAGACGGGAGCUCAGGUCCUCAUCCGUGUACAGCCAGUGCUCUUACCUGCAGAGCCAGCCUCCCCAGCUCCUGCCCCAACCCCGCCUCUCCCUCCCUCUUGGUCUCAGACUUAUGGCAAUACUCCUGACUCAGCACUGAAGCGCUGCGGUUUCCCGUGUGCUCUCCCAUGCCCAGAUUUCAAACCAUUUUAAAGAGAAAUACCGCCUUGUCCUUUUCAUUGCGUCCUGUUUGGUGGCUAACUUUUACUAUUUCCUUCCUUGAGGUGCUGGGGUGGAGCUCCUGUCUCCUGCAUGCUGGAGAAGUUCUCCACCAGCCAGCUCUACCACUGCCUUGCUGAAUGCUAACCUGUCUUUUAACUAUAAAGUUUAUUUUUUCCCUUUUGUGUUUAGCAACUAUUUUGGGAGAAGUACUUUGAGAUACACAAAUGUCUUGUGUUCAUAGUGUGGAAUUAGGUUUCCUGUUUUAUUUAAGACUGUAGCCUUGUGUUGUGAUUUGGUUUAACCCUGAUUUGAUCAGUGGAAGAACCUUGAGCUGGUUUUCUUGGCUUUAGAUAAAAUCUCUAUUAUCUCUGAGUACUUACUCUCUACUAAAGGAGGUUCCUGUUUGCCUUAUAUUUCCCCUGUCAGCACUGGAUUUCUGCCUUUCUCAAGGAAGCCUUUAGCAGAGAGACCUACGUCAGGGACUACAGGGGUGCACUUUUUGUUGUCGUUGUUUUUACUUUUUUAAAAGAUUUAUUUAUUUUAUAUAUAUGUGAGUAUACUGUCAUGGUCUUCAGACAUACCAGAAGAAGGCAUCAGAUCCCGUUACAGAUGGUUGGGAGCCACCAUGUGGUUGCUGGGAUUUGAAUUCAGGACCUCUGGAAGAGCAGUCAGUGCUCUUAACCGAUGAGCCAUCUCUCCUGCCUGUGUUGUUGCUUUUGAACCACUCACCUUCCUCUUAUUGAUCCUCUAGACUCAUCUUUAUGUUCUAGGCAGACAUCUCCACUUAUUGUACAUCAGAUGUAUCACAAUGACACUUACAUUAUCUGUUUCUUCCUGUAGACUACAGAUUGUCUGAGAGCAGAAACUGUGUAUGACUUAGCCAUAGGGGUACUUGACAUAGUAUAUAGAAUACAGUAGGUACUCAGUAAAAAUAGAAUAAAAGGCCAGGUAUGGUGGUGCACACCUACAAUCCCAGCAUGCAGAGGUAGAGGCAGGAGGAUGACAAGUUCAAAGCAAGCCUGGGAUACAUAGUAAGAUCCCUGCUUAAAAGAAAAAUGGGAGCCGGGCGUGUUGGCCCACGCCUUUAAUCCCAGCACUUGGGAGGUAGAGGCAGGUGGAUUUCUGAGUUCGAGGCCAGCCUGGUCUAAAAAGUGAGUUCCAGGACAGCCAGGGCUAUUCAGAGAAACUGUCUCGAAAAACC